ensembl:lncRNA
AAGCUGGUGCAGCAUGUGUGGCAGGGCUGUAUCAGACCAAAAAAAGUUGUUGAAUGUUUUCAACAAGGACAAAAAACUGGUUAAGGGAUUCACUACGGACUGCAAAAGUUUAAACCAUUCUAAUAAGACAGAUAGGCAGCACAGAAUGAAACGACUGAGGAGCCGCAAGGAGAGGAGUCAGAGGAGCGAUAACCGGAAAGAAGCCUCAAAGUCCAAAGCACAUCGGCAUCAUCUCUGCCAAAGGGCUCAAGACAUGGCCUAUUUUCAGAGCCGCUGUCAUUGUGCUUCACAGAGAAAUGCUCCAUUUGCAAACGUCAUUCCUACUGCACAAGAGCCAAGCAUAAUCACGGACCGUCGCCUGAUAGGACACCACGGCCUGUUCAACCAUGAGGUGAAGUCCGUUGACAUAGAACGCUUGCUAAGUGUGCAGAGGCAAAGUGGACAGCAAGUAGAGCAAAAUUCUACUCCACAUCCAUCUUCAACAUCUCACGUUCCUUUGCUGUUCCUCGCUAACGAUUUAUUGGCUACUGAUGCUGAUGAGGUUCUGCCAUUUCAAAGGAAAUCUGCCCCUGAUGAUUGCCGUAAGAAAGAGGAGAAAUUCAGUCCCCAAUCCGAUAUUACUCCGGGACAAAGGCCGCAGCAACAGUUUGAUCCUUCAUGUGAAAGUUUUAAAAGCGUCUCCUCUAAACAAAGCUCCCAUGAUGCAGCCAUAAUUCAGAGCAAGAAGACAAAACUUCUGCCUGCAAAGGGCCGAGAGUCACCGCUGACUCUCACUGCUGUCAAAGAUAGAAAUGUGAAGACGUUAAGCAGGAAGGCGAAUAGACACACAGUUUCUACUGUGGAGCACACCCCAAAUAACCCAGAGUCUCCCAUCCACCAGACACUAGCUCAUGGUCCCAGCAUGAGCCCAACUCCGCUCUCCAGCUCAGGCUCUGUAGAUAGCUUCGACAUACAGCCCGGACGACAAGAUGCUCGCUGGGCAUCGAAGGCUGUUGCUGCGGUGGCAGCAAGUUUAUGUGACUUUCUGCAGUUCCCACUUCUAAGAAGAAGAAGAAACCUGGUGGCAGAGAGCAGGGAAGUGCUGUUGAAAGCUCUACAGGAGAGUCAUGGACCCCGGCUUCAGGAGAACCUCCUUGUGGUGCAGCGAGGCCUCAGCUUUGGUCCUGGUCCAACAGAGAAAGUCUGGGAUGAGGAGCUAACUAUGACAGACAAGCUCCUGCCUCCAGGUGCUACAGCAUUUCCAUCUGAUACAGCAAGUCAGCCGUGUUUCAAAACCCAGAAAACCACAUCUUUCCAGAUGACGGGAAGUAUACCUUUUAGCUGGAAGUCCAGGCCACAGCGACACCAAAACCUGGAGCAGACUGCUGAUUGGUUGACAAGCCCCAUGGAAACUUCUCUCAGCGUUCUGGAUGGUCUCCUCACACCUACUUACGCUCCUCUGACCUGCAUGGACUUUGAGCCCUCCCAAAGGGGAACCAGUGAUAAGUUGUUCUCCUCCACCUCAUGCUGGGAAAAAACGGCCUCAGUAUCUCAGCACUGGGGAGACGGUUUCAACAAGCCAAAGGAGAACAUGGGUGUUAUGUUUGAUUUCUUUGAAACCCAAGCAGUUCCAGAGAGAAGCAGUGGGUCUCAAUACAGUAGCAGCGACAUGCAGCCUUUGUUUCCUUACCAGAUGAAGCUGCCAGGUGGACGUUCAGCCGAGCGCUUUCCCCCGGACAAAGACCCCUUGGAAACCGACAGAUAUUAUUAUGAUACCUCCCAUUGCGCUCAUGUUCCCCAUCCUCUACAGAGCUUCCAACCUUUGAGCCAGUUCGGUAGUCAUUCAACUUGCCCUCCAUCCAGGUCCCACCUGCCCGACAUGACUCACUACCCACCAUCUCACACCCUUGAAAGAGACACGGCAGCUCCCCAUUAUUUUUUCCCGAGCCCUGACCACUGGUCCCUCCCUCCUAUGCGACUGUACUAA